CCCCUCAGUACCAGUUGAACCUGCCCCGGAGCAAGCUGGACGACUGCCACUCGGACAUGUCCGGAGAGAGCGCCGGCGACAGCGGCAAGGGCGGAAGUGACGACGAUCUGCAGAUCAACAAUCUUUCCUUCCCACGCGACGGCGACCUGCGCUUCAAGGACAGGUGGAACACCGGGAGACACAGCGCCUCUGCGUGCCAACUCUCUUCGUUUCCCACUCGAUAUACGCAACCGAACAACACCCUUACGCACCAGAAAAUAGUCCCGUUCUCGUUCAAGAAAACGCCAUCCUACAGCGGAAAUGGUUUAAUAAAUAAUCUUGCGCCUCAACCGUCGUUCCAGAUGACCGCGACGACGGGAUAUAGCGUGCCGACGUAUUAUGACGACGAGAGCCGGUCGUCGUCUGGGUUCCAUAGUAGUAUAGAUUCCAGCUCAAAUAUGCAUAUUAAUAAUUUCAGGAAUGGAAAACUGUACUUAAAUCGAGCUAAAGUGUCGGACUGUGUGGUAUAGGGAGAGUUUGUGUUCGUAUAACUUAUAUUAUCUGUGAUAUUAGAAGUCAUUGUUGUACCAAAUCACGCGAUGUUAUUGACAAGAAUGGCCCAAGUCAGUAAUCGGACACAACGCACGUUACAUGUGCCAAAUUGUACAUUUAUUAUUCUUAAUAUUUAAAUGAAAGUCACUGUCUUCUCAUCUGUGUGCAAUGAUGAACUAGCAGACGAGAAUAAUCUGGUCAUGUGAGGAGAGGCGCAAUGCGAUGUCAUCGAUUUCAUUAUUAUAGAUUACGCCGUAGCGUUGAAGACUGCAUUUCCGAAAGAAGAGCUACGUUUUCUACUAACCCUCCAAGUUAUGACAGAGUGUAGCAUAACCAGUCAUCUGGACGUGUAUUUCGGACAGUGUUUCAUCGGAUAUCGCUUCUUCUCUUCAAUAACUCUUGAACAUCGCAAUGCCUGAGGCAUUCUUGUAUUUAAAUAAACAUGCAAGAUGACGUUUAUAAAACGCCCGUUUGAAAGUAAAUGUGGGAACGUGUGUGUGAUUCACGAACACAUGCAAUUCGGCGUGCAUUAUUUGAAAUAUGCUUCGUUGUAUUUUCCACACCUAUCGUAGUCACUUGUAGUCUUAUGUAAGUUACAACUACAAGACUGUGCAAACAUAAUGUUUUACGAGCUGGGCAAUAAUGGAAAAACAUGUAAAGCAUUUAUAUAGCCAUAAUUAUUACAUAAACACGUACAUUAAUGUGCUACGCAAAAUACUCGAUUAGCAUAACGUGUUAAAAAAAAUAAAACGUGCAUAAGGAAGCAUAAUGGUGCCCAUAACAUUUACAAUAAACGUUUUAUUCGCCAUAAAGUAUUCACUUAAUAAACAAAUUUUAAUAAUAUAGUUUUGUAUGUCAGAUCGUUUAUCUUCUGGCAGGUUACCUGAAUUCACGUGUACUUUAGACAGUCCCUGUUGACAGUCAGUCACUGUUAAAAUUAUUGUUGGUGCAGCCGAAAUUAAUGGUCAGUCCGAAGGGUAAAGCAAUAAUUAAUAAUUUCCUUUCAAGUUACGUCGGCGCAACUUUGAUCUUCGGCAUCCCCAUGUUGAUAAUAGAUAAUACUCAUUGUGCUGAUAUGUAAAUAAUUGUUGUGUCCCGCUGCGUGUAUGUACAAAGAGUGACCGGACAGGUCAUUGCAUGAUAAAUGUUACGAGAUAUUACGGCGGAGCUGCGUUUGAUAGAAGUGUCAGGUCCCGGUAGAUUUGAUAAAUGGUAUCCGCGAUUGUACACCCAUAACAAUAAAUACAAUAACACAUUGGAACUCUCUCAGAUGUAUUUUUCACUUCAUGAUAGGGAAUCGUUAAGAGAAAUUGAAUUUUGUUUCAUAGUUAUUCGAGGACCAAUAGUUUUAUGUUUGUUGAAGAUAUUCGUGUUAUUGUUUUCAUAUUUUGUAAACUGAAUAAUUCAAUUGUUAUUAAUAAUGAGUGUAGUUGUGCAGAAAUAUUUAAUCAAAUUCAAUACCAAUGAUAAUCUAGUUGAAAACACGCAUGUUUUAAAAAAUGAUUGGAAUUGUUGAUACGCACGUUUAAUAUAUUAUAAUUAACGGGUAAGACGAAUACCUAUGUAUAAAAAUACGCGUUUUGAAAGGUAGAGAAAGAGUUCGUGACAUCGAAUAGAUUCGUGUCUUCCGAAGAAUAAAUGUUUGUUUUUUUUAAAUUCUAUUAUGAAAACUGUUUUAUUGAUUUGUCCAAACAUCAGUAGUUUCGUUUCUUGCAUGUUUGCAUUCAGAUUUUAAUGUCGACAAUGGUCCGAAGCACAAUAAUUUUGUUUGUAUAUUUGAAAAAUGUGCACGUCAUGUUAUGUUCAUCUUUACAAUUAUUAUCAUACGAAUGAUGCACGUGUCGUGAACGUGAUUUUUUAUGCUAACAAUUUAGUCACUAAUGUCGUGUUCAUAUGGUUAUGCUUUUUGUUGUGGUUUUUGUAAAUUCUACUGAUAUUUGUGUAUGUUUGCAUUUGUAUUACAUUCUAGAAGAAUGUUUUUGAUAAAUGCAAUUAAAAUCUUCAAAAAUAA